rnacentral:rRNA from 1 species
CCCUUAGAUGUUCUGGGCCGCACGCGCGCUACACUGACGAAUGCAACGAGCUUAUAACCUUGGCCGAAAGGUCUGGGUAAUCUCCAAAUUUCGUCGUGAUGGGGAUAGAUUAUUGCAAAUAUUAAUCUUGAACGAGGAAUUCCUAGUAAGCGCAAGUCAACAGCUUGCGUUGAUUACGUCCCUGCCCUUUGUACACACCGCCCGUCGCUACUACUGAUUGGAUGUUUAAGCGAGGUUCUCGAACUGCUAGCGACUUAGCUUCGGUGAGGUCGCAGUGUGGGAAGUGAACCUAGCUUUGGUGUCUAGAGGAAGUAAAAGUCGUAACA